GGAAGCGCUUCGGGUCAAAGGUAAACACGGAAGCCACAUGUAAAUUGGUCGUACGAGGUUGGGAGGACAUAAUAUUAUUAUGAAGGAUAAGAGGAUUGAAGAUCGGGUCAAGAGUAAGGAUUGUACGGGAAGGAUCGGUCACAUAGUUUGACAAAUAUGGGUCUUGAAGCAUUAAUAUAAUGGAACGUGGUAAAUCCUUUUUAAUGAGUGUAUGAAAUUUUUGUA